GGGACGUUAGCUCAGUUGGUUAGAGCAGAGGACUCAUAAUCCUUUGGUCGAGUGUUCAAGUCACUCACGUCCUACCA
rnacentral:tRNA from 1 species